AAAGACCUUCUAAGGAAUCAGAUGUUCAGUUUUUUUCCUGGUCGCUGGUCUCAUACAUCAAAAGAUCAAAGGAAGCACGGUCGCUACAGCGACAAAACCCUUGGCUCAAAGAGGGAACACACAUUCGGCCCACAUACUCACAAAAGCCGGCCAGAUGCAGAGACACAGCGCCAUUCAAAGUCAUCUAAUAGGCCACUACGGGAGAAAAACUGCCUGUCUGUGUUAUCACCAAAGAAUAAUUUUGCAAGUUACCAAGACCAACUGCUGAGUGGCAUCAAACUCAUUUGUAAAUGCCAUUUCAAAGUAAGUUGAUCAAAGAGCUAAUUUGCCAAAAAUCCAGUUGAAUGCACAAACACCCUCCUCUCACACCAGCGCUUUUUCAAAUAAGUGCUUUGAUUUUUCCCUCUUUCUGCAGACUAUCAUUUUGAUCACUGUUCUCCUUAUUGCUCCUCCGUAGUGGUCAUACUUUUGUAGACUCUGUUACUGAACUUGUACAUCAUCGUCAUCAUCAUCAUCAUCUAAGAGCAUAUAUAUAAAAACCAUUCCUCCCUCUCCGGUU